AGGGGUGUUGUGAGGACUCAUUUGUGACUUUUUUUUUUUUUUGUACAGAGCUUUUGAGCAUUAAAAAAAUGGCUAAAUGUGAAAUGUGCCCCGCCUGCUGAUGUCUGUAGUGUGGGGCAGAUGUUACAGACGUGAUACAGCUGUGGUGGGUGGGCAAGGAGAGUACUUACUUUGUCAGGCAUUGUAGUUGGCUUUGUUGACGGUCAUCAUCCCAUUCAGCGCUCCAACAAUACCACAAGGUGGUGGUAUGACCCGCAUUUUGUGGAUCGGGAUACGGAGGCCGGAGGGCAUCUGAUUCCAGGCCCUUGCUUAUUUCACAGAUCCACCAGAGCAUUUAGAUUGAUGCCAAUUACUAACCCAGAGCCUGGAGACCCAAAGAAACUGCC
rnacentral:lncRNA from 1 species